rnacentral:rRNA from 1 species
AGUGAACGCUGGCGGUAGGCCUAACACAUGCAAGUCGAACGGCAGCACAGUAAGAGCUUGCUCUUACGGGUGGCGAGUGGCGGACGGGUGAGGCAUACAUCGGAAUCUACUUUUUCGUGGGGGAUAACGUAGGAAAACUUACGCUAAUACCACAUACGACCUACGGGUGAAAGCAGUGGAUCUUCGCACCUUGCGCGAUUGAAUGAGCCGAUGUCGGAUUAGCUAGUUGGCGGGGUAAAGGCCCACCAAGGCGACGAUCCGUAGCUGGUCUGAGAGGGUGAUCAGCCACACUGGAACUGAGACACGGUCCAGACUCCUACGGGAGGCAGCAGUGGGGAAUAUUGGGCAAUGGGCGAAAGCCUGAUCCAGCCAUGCCGCGUGGGUGAAGAAGGCCUUCGGGUUGUAAAGCCCUUUUGUUGGGAAAGAACAGCAGCAGGUUAAUACCCGGCUGUUCUGACGGUACCCAAAGAAUAAGCACCGGCUAACUUCGUG